UACGUAGGUGGCAAGCGUUGUCCGGAUUUACUGGGCAUAAAGAGCGCGCAGGCGGUCGGAUCAGUCGAAUGUGAAAGCCCCCGGCUCAACUGGGGAGGGUCAUUCGAUACUGUCCGACUCGAAGGCAGGAGAGGGAAGCGGAAUUCCCGGUGUAGUGGUGAAAUGCAUAGAUAUCGGGAGGAACACCAGUGGCGAAGGCGGCUUUCUGGCCUGUUCUUGACGCUGAGGCGCGAAAGCUAGGGGAGCGAACGGG
rnacentral:rRNA from 1 species